rnacentral:snoRNA from 13 species
CCGUUCUUGUGUUAUUUGCUGAAUUUAGAUACUCGUUCAGUGAUUGUCAAACAGAACGCACAUUAAGUACCACCUUACUCCAUAAUGUUGAGCUGACUCUGGUCUAUAGCUUUUACAUUACUAAAAGCUGGUUACAUGC